GCGGGGGGUUAUGGCGAGGGUCCCAAACCCGAUCCCAUCCCGAACUCGAUGGUUAAACCCCUCAGCGCCAAUGAUACUUCGUCUCAAGACGCGGAAAAGUAGGUCGCCCCCCGCU
rnacentral:rRNA from 1 species